UUGAUACCAUGAUGAGAGCAUAGUUCAACAGAUUAACAAUGACGAUUAUGCGUUUUGUCUUUCGCUCCUAGCUGAUGUGUCAG
ensembl:snoRNA